GAGGGGGAGAAUGAGAGAAAUUCAAGAGAGAAGGGAGAGAAGCUCGAGAGAGAAGAGACCUUCAAGAGAGAAAGAGAGAAGCCGAGUGAAGGGCUCGGAAGAGGAGAGAAGGGACUCGAGAGAGAGAUAGGAUUCAAGUGGGAAGAAAGUACGAGAUUUUCAUUCAUUCAAUCCUUCUCCUCUUACAUAAAAUGCCUCCUUAUUUAUAGGAGGGAAUGGGGUGGAGUAACCACCUUAAUUCAAGGGACACAUCCCUUCAUAUGAGAGGAGGAGAGAGAAGAUCACCCACAAAAAGUGGGCAAUUACAACCACUUUCUCUCAUUUGAAAGGGUGCCUUUAACCACGAGAUCUAGAGGCCAUUUAGGCCCAUGAGGAGGUAGGUCCAUGGAAAAAAUAGAAAAUUUUAAAAGAAAAGUCAACGGGGUUGACUAUGGCCAUUAUAUGGGAUGAGAGGUUCCUAUAUUUAAGGAAAUGGGUUGACUAAAGGCUGUUGAGCCUUCUUAGGGUCAAAUAUUGAUUCAAGAUAAGGCUGAGCUUUGAUAAGAAGGGGUUGAAAGGAUUCAAUGAAGGUAAAGGGGUUUGACCAAACCUCUAAUGGGCGUUGACUUGGUCAAUGGUGGAUGUGGGGACAAGGCUAGGGUGCCCUAGCCACCUCCUCAUGGCCUCCUUCCUUAUCUUUGACCUCAAUGAUUUUCAAGGUUUGAAUUUUCUUCCCCAAGAUCAUCAUGUUGACUUGGUGUGGAGGGAGGACUCUCAUCCUUGGGGAGUGUCUUGGUGAAGGCCUUGAUGUUACCUCUUGAUCUACU
rnacentral:lncRNA from 1 species